UGGCCACGCCCGUGCCGCGCGCGCUGCCCCUCGGCAACCCGCACAACACAACAAAAUGGCUGCCGCGCUGCUGGGCGCCUAAAGGGAACGACGAACUCGUCUCUUGCCCUUCUUGACCAGCCCGGUUGCUCGCCCGGGCUCCUAGGCGGUUUUGAUGGGCAUCUGGCUUUAUUCUUGCAAUGAAGAAAGGUCCUCAACAAAGAAUAUUCUCCAACGCAAGGAAACCACCAUCAUCUCACUCUCCUAGUCCAUCGUCUCUUAUGUCCAAUAUGAGAUCUAGGUCACUUUCACCUUUAGGUGGACCAGAGACUCUGCCUUUUCAUUCUGGAGGACAAUGGUGUGAGCAAGUUGAGAUUACAGAGGAAAGCAGUAUGCCUUUAGACUACCACGACCAUAAAGAAGCUGAUUCACAUCCAGGAGUCCGAUAUAUUACUGAGGCCCUUAUUAAAAAGCUUACUAAACAGGACAACUUGGCCUUGGUAAAAUCUCUGAACCUUUCACUUUGUAAAGAUGGUGGCAAGAAAUUUAGGUAUAUCGAAAAUUUGGAAAAAUGUGUUCAACUUGAAGUACUGAAUCUCAGCUAUAAUCUCAUUGGGAAGAUUGAGAAGGUGGAUAAGCUAUUAAAAUUACGUGAACUCAAUUUAUCAUACAACAAAAUCAGCAAAAUUGAAGGCAUAGAAAAUAUGUGUAAUCUGCAAAAGCUCAACCUUGCAGGAAAUGAAAUUGAACAUAUUCCAGUAUGGUUAGGGAAGAAGUUAAAAUCUUUACGGGUCCUCAAUCUGAAAGGCAACAAGAUAUCAUCGCUCCAGAAUGUAAGCAAGUUGAAACCACUUCAAGAUUUAACUUCUGUGAUCCUAGUUGAAAAUCCAAUUGUGGCUCUUCCUCAUUACCGGCAGUUUACCAUUUUCCACCUCCGUUCACUGGAAAGUUUGGAAGGUCAGCCAGUAACCACUCAGGACAGACAGGAGGCUUUUGAGAGAUUUAGUUUAGAAGAGGUAGAAAGACUAGAAAGAGACUUGGAAAAGAAGGUGAUGGAAACUGAAGAGCUGAAGAGCAAACAAACAAGGUUCCUUGAGGAAAUUAAAAAUCAAGAUAAACUGAACAAAUCAUUAAAAGAGGAGGCCUUGCUGCAGAAACAGAGCUAUGAGGAGCUAGAAAGUGACCUAAACACAAAGAAUGAAUUGCUAAAACAGAAGACCGUGGAACUAACGCGAGCUUGUCAGAAACAGUAUGAGCUGGAACAGGAAUUGGCCUUUUAUAAAAUUGAUGCUAAAUUUGAGCCACUAACUUAUUAUCCAUCAGAGUAUGUUGAAAUUGACAAAGCCCCAGAUGAAAGCCCUUACAUUGGCAAAUCCAGAUACAAGAGAAAUAUGUUCACCACAGAGAGUCACAUUAUUGAUAACUCCCAGCCAGUACAGAUCAGGAAAAUGGAGCCAGAUGAAGGGGAACAACUUAGAAAUGAGCAAGUUAACUUGAAAACCCAAGUGCCACUGGACAUACAACUGGAAGACAAAGAAAAAAUAAGUGCAGCACAGACUCGACUAUCAGAACUGCAUGAUGAAAUAGAAAAGGCAGAACAACAAAUUUUAAGAGCUACCAAAGAAUAUAAACAACUGGAAGAAGCUAUACAACUAAAAAAAAUUUCAGAAGCAGAGAAAGACCUUCUUUUCAAGCAGUUGAGUAGUAGGAUACAACUUCUAAAUAAAUUACGCCAGGAAGCUCUGGAUCUAGAAAUGCAAAUGGAAAAGCAAAGACAAGAAAUUGCUGAAAAGCAGAAGAAGAUCAAGGAUCUACAAGUAGUCAUAGAUAGCCUGGAUUCCAAAGACUCAAAACAUUCCCAUAUGACAGCUCAGAAAAGGGGUAAAGAACAACAGCUUGACGUUAUGAACAAACAGUAUAAACAACUUGAAAGCCGUUUGGAUGAGAUACUUUCUAGGAUUGCUAAGGAAACGGAAGAGAUUAAGGACCUUGAGCAACAGCUUACUGAAGGGCAGAUAGCAGCAAAUGAAGCUCUGAAGAAGGAUUUAGAAGGUGUCAUCAGUGGUUUACAAGAAUACCUGGGGAGUAUCAAAGGCCAGGCAACUCAGGCCCAGAAUGAAUGCAAGAAGUUACAGGUCGAGAAAGAGGCAUUGCUGCAGAGAUUGACAGAAGUUGAGCAGGAAAGAAACCAACUGGAAAUAGUUGCCAUGGAUGCAGAAAAUAUGAGGAAGGAGCUUGCAGAGCUAGAAACUGCCCUCCAGGAGCAGCAUGAGAUAAAUGUAUCCCUGCAGCAGACCCAGGGAGAUCUCAGUGCCUAUGAGGCUGAGCUAGAGGCUCAGCUAAGAAUGAGGGAUGCUGAAGCCAGCCAGCUCAAGGAAGAGUUGGAAAGACUAACAAGACUUAGCCAGUUAGAACAAUCAGCCCUACAAGCAGAACUUGAGAAGAAAAGGCAAGCCCUUGAGAAUGCCCUCGGAAAAGACCAGUUGUCAGAAGAAGAGAAACAAGAAAACAGUGAGCUCUUCACGCAACUUAAACACCUGCAGGAUGACAAUAACCUGUUAAAAAAGCAGCUUAAAGAUUUCCAAAAUCACCUUAAUCAUGUGGUUAAUGGUUUGAUUCGUCCAGAGGAAGUGGCAGCUCGUGUGGAUGAGCUGAGGAGAAAGCUGAAGUCAGGAGCUGGUGAAAUGAGAAUCGACAGUCCUUCAGAUGUCUUAGGGAAAAGCCUUGCCAAUUUACAAAAACAAUUUAAUGAAAUUCUUGCACGUUCCCAAUGGGAAAGAGAGGAAGCACAAGUUAGAGAGAGACAACUCCAAGAAGAAAUGACUCUGCAACAAGAGAAACUGGCAAAUGGACAAGAAGAGUUCAGGCAGGCCUGUGAGAGAGCCCUUGAAGCAAGAAUUAAUUUUGAUAAGAGGCAACAUGAAGCAAGAAUCCAGGAAUUAGAGAAUGAAAUUCACUAUUUGCAAGAAAAUCUAAAAAGUAUGGAGGAAAUCCAAGGCCUUACAGAUCUCCAACUUCAGGAAGCUGAUGAAGAGAAGGAGAGAAUUCUGGCUCAACUCCAAGAGUUAGAGAAGAAGAAGAAACUUGAAGAUGCCAGAUCCCAGGAGCAGUUUCUUGGUUUAGAUAAACAAUUGAAGAAACUAAAAAAAGCUGUGGCUGCCUCUGAUAAGCUAGCCACAGCUGAGCUCACCAUUGCCAAAGACCAGCUUAAGUCCCUUCACGGAACUGUUAUGAAAAUUAACCAGGAGCGAGCAGAGGAAUUGCAGGAAACUGAGAGGUUCAGCAGAAAGGCAGCACGUGCGGCCAGGGAUCUGACCCGAGCAGAAGCAGAGAUCGAACUCCUACAGAAUCUUCUCAGGGACAAAGAGGAUCAGUUUCUAAUGGAGAUGGAGAAAGCAGAUGCAGGCACCUUAGUAGCAAACUCACAGGUGCUAGAAAUUGAUAAACUCAAUGAGACAAUGGAGAGACAAAGGACAGAGAUUGCAAGGCUAUGGAAUUUACUAGACCUCACUGGAGCUGAUAGCAAAGGAGGCUUUGAAAAUAUUUUGGAAGAAAUUGCUGAACUCCGUCGUGAAGUUUCUCAUCAGAAUGAUUAUAUCAGCAGCAUAGCAGAUCCUUUCAAAAGACGAGGCUAUUGGUACUUUAUGCCACCACCAUCAUCAAAAGUUUCUAGCCAUAGUUCUCAGGCCACCAAGGACUCUGGUGUUGGCCUAAAGUGCACAGCCUCAGCUCCUGUUAGAAAAGCACAUCCUGGGCAGCAAGAUGGGAAGGAAGGCAGUGGACCUCCACCUGCCUCAGGAUACUGGGUUUAUUCUCCCAUCAGAAGUGGGUUACAUAAAUCUCUUUCAAAUAGAGAUGAAGACAGUGGAGGAGAUAGCCAAGAAGAGAGUGACCUGGAUGACCGGGAGGAACCUCCAUUUGUGCCUCCGCCUGGAUACAUGAUAUAUACCGUCUUUCCUGAUGGUUCUCCAGUGCCUCAGGGCAUGGCCCUUUAUGCACCACCUCCUCCCUUGCUCAACAAUAGCCGACCUCUCACCCCUGGAACUGUUGUUUAUGGGCCGCCUCCUGCUGGGGCCCCCGUCGUGUGUGGACCUCCACCCCCCAACUUCUCAAUCCCCCUCAUCCCCAUAGGCGUGCUGCAUUGCAACGUCCCAGAACAUCAUAACUUAGAGAAUGAAGUUUCUAGAUUAGAAGAAAUAGUGCAGCAUUUAAAAUCAAAAAGACGGGAAGAACGGUGGAUGAGAAUAUCUAAGCGACAGUGUGAAAAAGAAAUAGAAGAACUGCAUCAUAAUAUUGAUAGUCUUUUGCAAGAGAAGAAGGACUUAGAGCAUGAAGUAGAAGAAUUACAUAGAACCAUCCAAAAACAUCAACAGCCAAAGGACUUCAUUGAUGGAAAUGUUGAGAGUCUUAUUACUGAACUAGAAAUAGAAAAAUCACUCAAACACCAUGAAGAUAUUGUAGAUGAAAUUGAGUGCAUUGAAAAGACCCUUCUGAAACGCCGUGCAGAGCUCAGGGAAGCUGACCGACUCCUGGCAGAGGCUGAGAGUGAACUUUCAUGCACAAAGGAGAAAACAAAAAAUGCUGUUGAGAAGUUCACUGAUGCCAAGAGAAAUUUAUUGCAAACUGAGUCAGAUGCUGAAGAAUUAGAAAGGAGAGCUCAGGAAACUGCUAUUAACCUUGUCAAAGCUGAUCAGCAGCUAAGAUUGCUCCAGGCUGAAGCAAAGGAUUUGGAGCAGCACAAAAUCGAGCAAGAAGAAAUCUUGAAAGAAAUAAAUAAAGUUAUAGCAGCAAAAGACUCUGACUUCCAGUGUUUAAAUAAGAAGAAGGAAACACUGACAGAAGAGCUUCAGAAACUGCAAAAAGACGUCGAGACCGCAGAAUGCAAUGAGGAUCACCACCUGCAGGUCCUUCAAGAGUCUGAGACCCUCCUUCAGGCCAAGAGAGCAGAGCUGGAAAAGCUGAAGAGCCAGGUGACAAGUCAACAACAGGAGAUGGCCAUCUUGGACAGGCACUUGGGACAUAAAAAGGAGGAGCUGCAUCUACUCCAAGGAAGCAUGGUCCAGGCCAAGGCUGACCUCCAGGAGGCUCUGAGACUGGGAGAGACUGAAGUAGCUGAGAAGUGCAGUCACAUUAGGGUUUGUUUUUCUGAAGUAAAAUCUCUUCUGGAAGAACUGAGUUUUCAGAAAGGAGAACUGAAUGUCCAGAUUAGUGAAAAAAAAUCUCAACUUGCACUUAUAAAGCAGGAAAUUGAGAAAGAGGAAGAAAAUCUUCAGGUAGUUUUAAGGCAAAUGUUUAAACAUAAAACUGAACUAAAGAAUAUUCUGGACAUGUUACAACUUGAAAACAAUGAGCUACAGGGCUUGAAGCUACAGCAUGACCAAAAGGUGUCUGAAUUAGAGAAGAUGCAGGUUGAAGUGUUAGAGGAGAAACUGGAGUUAGAGAAUUUGCAGCAGACAGCCCAGCGACAGAAAGGGGAAAUAGAAUGGCAGAAGCAGCUCCUUGAGAAGGACAAACGGGAAAUAGAGCGAAUGACUGCUGAGACCCGAGCAUUACAAGUGUGUAUGGCAUCUUUGAGCAAAGAAAAGGAAGAUCUUGAAGAGAAAUGUGACAGUUGGGAAAAGAAGUUGGCACAAACCAAAAGAGUUUUGGCAGCUACAGAAGAGAACAGCAAAAUGGAGCAGUCAAACUUAGAAAAGUUGGAAUUGAGUGUCAGAAAACUGCAGCAGGAACUAGACCAACUAAACAGAGACAAGCUCUCACUGCAUAAAGACAUUUUAGUAAUGCAGCAACAGCUACAAGAAAAACGAGAAGAAGUAAACACACUACAGGAAGAAUUAGCUCAUGUCCAAGACCACUUGAAUUUAGCAGAACAGGAUCUGCUUCACACCGCCAAGCAUCGAGACAUACAACUUAGUGAGCAGACCAGGCUCCAGAAGGACAUCAGUGAACAGAAAAAGAAGUUUGAAGACUGUCAGAAAGAAGGAGAAACAAAACAGAAGCAACUUCAGGUGCUUCAGAACGAGAUUGAAGAAAACAGGCUCAAGCUAGUACAACAAGAAAUGAUGUUUCAAAAACUCCAGAAAGAGAGAGAAAGUGAAGAAGAAAAAUUAGAAGCCAGUAAAAUGACACUGAAGGAGCAGCAGCAGCAGCUGGAAAAGGAAUUAACUGACCAGAAAAGUGAACUGGAACAGGUGCUUACAAAGGUGUCGGUGGCUGAAGAGCAUGUCAAGACUCUGCAGGAAGAGAAGAGGUGGAAUGAAACCCUGGAGAAGACACUUUCCCAAACCAAACAACAGCUUUCAGAACGGGAGCAGGAAUUAAUGGAAAAGUCAAGUGAGCUUCUGGCUCUCCAGAAAGAGAUGGACUCCAUGAGGGCUGACUUCAGCCUCCUGCGGAACCAGUUCUUGACAGAAAGAAAGAAAGCAGAGAAGCAGAUUGCCACCCUAAAGGAAGCCCUUAAGACACAGCGGAGCCAGCUGGAGAAGAACCUUCUUGAGCAAAAACAGGAGAAUAGCUGCAUGCAGAAGGAAAUGGCAACAAUUGAGCAGGUGGCCCAGGACAACCAUGAGCGGGCUAGGCGCCUGAUGAAGGAGCUCAUCCAGAUGCAGCAUGAAUACAUGGAGCUCCAGAAACAGAUGGCAAACCAAAAAGAUUUGGAGAGAAGACAAAUGGAAAUCAGUGAAGCAAUGAGGACACUUAAAUCUGAGGUGAAAGAUGAAAUCAGAACCAGCCUUAAGAAUCUCAAUCAGUGUCUUCCAGAACUACCGGCAGAACUGGAAGGUAUUUUUGAAAGAAAUGAGAACUUAGAAGGAGAGUUGGAAAGCUUGAAAGAGAAUUUUCCAUUCACUAUGAAUGAAAGACCAUCGCCUUUUGAAGAAAAACUGAACUUUUCCCAAGUUCACAUAAUGGAUGAACAAUGGCGAGGAGAAGCACUCCGAGAGAAACUGCGUCACCAUGAAGAUCGACUCAAGGCUCAACUUCGACAUUGUAUGUCCAAACAAGCAGAAGUAUUUAUUAAAGGAAAGCAACAGACAGAAGGCACUUUACACAGUUUGAGAAGACAAGUUGAUGCUUUAGGGGAAUUGGUCACCAGCACCUCUAUAGAUUCAACUUCCUUGUCACCCAGUCUGUCUCAGCUGGAGUCUUCCCUUGCUGAUGACUUUCAGCAUGGACAAAGCCAGAGCUCCUUCCACCAAGUUCUGCCAAGUCCGUCAGAAUCAGACAUUUGCCUACACUGAUGCCAUUCCAGCCUCCUGUUCACAGGGUGUGUGCUGCAGAGAUCCUUUAACUAGUACUUUGAAUUGGAAGUUCUUUAAUGAAAAGAAUGGCUUAGCCAUAUGCGGAAUACAAUCUUGCAUAAAUAUGAGGAAAUACCUUCUCUACUACCUCACUAACUUCAUAGUUGGAAUAGCACUUGGAUUUUAGCAAGAUCCAGUGAAUUCAGAUGCUGAACUCCACUGUAGUUUUUCUUGUACCAUUAAUGCCAAGGUUUUUGUAAAUCACUUGUACAUAUGGGAAUAGUUGUAUAAAACUUAAACCGGGGUCCCAGGUGGUUGAGGUUUUAUAUUUGGAAUGUGUUUUUAUAAACCAGUGCUGAUUUUUUAACUGCACGUUUGAAUUUAUAAACUGGUAAUUAUUUAGAAACAAAGAAGAAAAUGUACUUAAUUUAAGCCUUUCAUUUAUAUAGUGUCGAGUUAUUUUUGGAUUUUGCUUAAAAUCUAUUUUCAUAUGAAAAUAAAAGAUACAACAGACUUGGGUCUAUCAUCUGACUUUGUAUUUCACAGAUCAAUCUAUUUUAAAGCUUUCUAAACUUUUACCUUAACUCCAUGAGAAUGACAAUCUUUCAAAUGGUCUUCUGUCUUCUGCUUGGAGGUUGAUGUGUUUUACUUAUUUCUAAACAUAUUUCAUUUGGAAAUACUAUAAUAAAACUUAUCACACUGCAGGUGCUUUUCUUCAGCCAGAACUUUAUACUUUGGAGAAUCCGAGUGGUAAAUUCGAAUUAUGUAGACUUCAUUUAAUUUUUAAACUACAGUAAUUAAAAGCUUAACUCUAUAAUCUACAUUAUUUCUUUAAAAAUAAGGAUUACAACUACUGUCACAGUUAUGUGGAACAGAAUUAUUUCCAAGGGUAAAGUGAAGUAUGAGACCACAUGUAAUAGAUUAUUAGGUUUUAAGAUAGUUCCAAGAACUCCUUUUUAGGCCACUCGGCAGCUUGUAGAGCCCUAGCAGAUUAUUAUAUUGUGUCUCUACAAUACAGAAGCGCACAGAAUAAUCUGUCACCACCUGCUGAGGUGUACAGUCCUAAAAAGUUAUGUUUGGCUAGAACUGGACCAUCAAGAUAAUGGGAUAAGUUCUAAUUACAAUAAAGAUAAUGAAAAUGGCAUAAAAUUUAUUAACACUCAGUAAUUUCUAGAAGGCAUCUACUUCCAAAAGAAAAUUUUACAUUGUUAGUGUCUUUUGUAUUCACAUUUUCCUUUGUUUCAUUUUCUGAAGUUUUAGCAAAAUGCUCAAAAAGCCUGCCUUAUUCACAGGUAUUGAAAUAUUUUAGGGCACAUUUUUUGGGCCUGGCUGUCUCCGUGCUGGAUAGGGGUAAAACAUCUCUCUAUACUGCCACAUGAACAGGAAUAGAAGGCAAUCAUUUGGUCUUUUCUUUUACUUAGGGGACUGAAUUGAACCACGCAUUAAAAAAAAAAAAUCACACUUUAAAACAGUGGGCAUAUGGGCAAAGGUUCUCAAAACUAUGGUCUGGUGGAAUUAGAGGUGAGGUAAUGUGUGAAGCUGAAUACCUAGUUUCAAAAGACACCUUUCCAAAGAAUUUUACUACUGCUAACUAUAGUAGUAUGUGAACAACAGCAAUCCAAAAAAAAAAAAAAAAUCAAGGAUAGUG